GUUGCUAUGAUUAACCAUGUUGAACGCGGUAACUUCGUCAAUUUAUGAGCCAGGAGUUUCGUCCAAGCUUCUUUUUACAGUAAAUGUUAUCUUUGUGUUCUUAUUGAUGACCGGAGUUGCUCUGAGUUUUAUGACUUUUUCAAUUCACAUUGUCAUAUUCACAGUUCUCGCUGGAUCUUUACUUCUAUCAAUUAAUUGGUUUGUCAGUGAAACGGGAAUGUUGGAAGAAAAUGAAAAAUCCAAAACAAAGCUGAAUUGAAAACUGAGGAUAUGUGAAAAUAUUCAGUCUAUUGAAUGUGAAAAUCGUAUGAAAAAUCCCACAACCAUAACAUUGACAUGCUGUAGAACUUUUAUUUACAGUUGAAGGAUAGUAGAGUUUCAUGUACAAUGUAACAAAAUAUGGUUGCAAUGUUAAUAAGUAGAGUCCUAUUAAGGUUAUCAAGUGAAGUAACUGGAAUGCUUAAAUGGAUGUUUAUAAAUCCAUAAAACCACAAUUGUCAACGCCAGAUAAUAUAUCACCCUAAAUUACUCAAUUGUUUUAGCUCGACUUACAUAGCCUAAAAAUAAAAUCAUUUGAACUCCA